GACAGAGGUCCCGAGCGUUGUUCGGAUUCAUUGGGCGUAAAGCGCGCGUAGGCGGACCUGCAAGUCGGGGGUGAAAGCCCGAGGCUCAACCUCGGAACUGCCUUCGAUACUGCGGGUCUCGAGACCGGGAGAGGUGAGUGGAAUUCCUAGUGUAGAGGUGAAAUUCGUAGAUAUUAGGAAGAACACCAGUGGCGAAGGCGGCUCACUGGCCCGGUACUGACGCUGAGGCGCGAAAGCGUGGGGAGCAAACAGG
rnacentral:rRNA from 1 species